GCGGACGUGGCGGAAUUGGCAGACGCGCCAGACUUAGGAUCUGGUAUCUUUGAUGUGGGAGUUCAAGUCUCUUCGUCCGCACCA
rnacentral:tRNA from 1 species